AACGAACGCUGGCGGCAGGCCUAACACAUGCAAGUCGAACGCCGUAGCAAUACGGAGUGGCAGACGGGUGAGUAACGCGUGGGAACGUACCCUUCAGUUCGGAAUAACCCAGGGAAACUUGGGCUAAUACCGGAUACGUGCGAGAGCAGAAAGAUUUAUCGCUGAAGGAUCGGCCCGCGUCCGAUUAGCUAGUUGGUGAGGUAAUGGCUCACCGAGGCGACGAUCGGUAGCUGGUCUGAGAGGAUGAUCAGCCACAUGGGGACUGAGACACAGCCCAAACUCCUAAGGGAGGCAGCAGUGGGGAAUAUUGGACAAUGGGCGCAAGCCUGAUCCAGCCAUGCCGCGUGAGUGAUGAAGGCCCUAGGGUUGUAAAGCUCUUUCGCCAGGGACGAUAAUGACGGUACCUGGAUAAGAAGCCCCGGCUAACUUCGUGCCAGCCGCCGCGGUAA
rnacentral:rRNA from 1 species